rnacentral:lncRNA from 1 species
UAAGAUUCAUAGAUAAUCUGACCAUAAAUCCACAAUUGAUCGGAUCUCGACAAACACACCGCAAAAGAAGAUUACAUCGGAUAGAUCUCCAUGAAGAUCAUGGAGAACUUUGUAUUGAAGAUCCAAGAGAGAGAAGAAGCCAUCUAGUUACUAGUUAUGGACCCCUAGGUCUAUGGUGAACUACUCACACAUCAUUGGAGAGGUCAUGGUGUUGAUGGAGAAGCCCUUUGUGUCCGAAUCCCCCUUCGGCAGGGCACCAGGACGUACCCCAGGUAGGAUCUUGCGGAGACAGAAGCUUGCGGCGGCGGAAAAGCGAUUGCGAUGAUCUCUUGAUUUUUUCUGGAAUUUAUGGGUUUAUAUAGGCGAAAGAUCUAGGUCACGAGACCUCCACGG